rnacentral:lncRNA from 1 species
AAAUACCCCUAAAAAAUCUAAAAUUGGUGUUCAAAUCCUUUUUCGGCCAAUUUUAAAAUUUUGGCACGGCAACACUGCCGUGCUCCGGUGACAACACCGUCGUCCGUGGCGAUGAUUUGCCUCGAACUGGCCAUUUUCAGCCAAUUUUGGUCGAUUUCGAUCGAUUUUAUACUCAUCCCUGCCAGAAAACUCGUUAAGGGACCUCGGUUGGCCAAAAAAAUAAAAAAAUAGAAGCUUACCGGCGGUGGAGUUUUUCGGUGUUGCAGCUCUGCCGGCUCACCUUCGCUGUUGGGUGUUUUUUUUCAAUUAACCUGUGGGAAACAAAUAGUGAAUACAAUGGUAAAAAAUAGCAUGAAACGAGAAUCGAAAAAGGUCUCAUCGGAGAUACUUUUU